rnacentral:rRNA from 1 species
UUUCCUACGGGAGGCAGCAGUGAGGAAUAUUGGUCAAUGGGCUAAGGCCUGAACCAGCCAAGCCGCGUGAGGGAAGACGGUCCUAUGGAUUGUAAACCUCUUUUGCCGGGGAGCAACGGGCGUCACGUGUGGCGCCACUGAGAGUACCCGGAGAAAAAGCAUCGGCUAACUCCGUGCCAGCAGCCGCGGUAAUACGGAGGAUGCGUGCGUUAUCCGGAUUUAUUGGGUUUAAAGGGUGCGUAGGCGGAUCGUUAAGUCAGUGGUCAAAUUGAGGGGCUCAACCCCUUCCCGCCAUCGUAACUGGG